rnacentral:tRNA from 1 species
CAGGGAGACAACACAAUGAUUUUGAUGCCUGAGUGCUUUUAUUCUUAGGCCGAAAUCCUGUCACCUUAGGUCGAUCGGUACCUCAGCUUUGAAGUCAAGGAUCAGCAGCAAUGUUGAUUGCUUGAUGGAGAUUUUCAGUUCCUAAACUUUGUCUAGGUCACACCCCAAAAGGGAUGAGACUCCUGGGCCAUUAGCUCAGGUGGUUAGAGCGCACCCCUGAUAAGGGUGAGGUCCCUGGUUCAAGUCCAGGAUGGCCCAUUCGGUGUUGGGGGUUUAGCUCAGUUGGUAGAGCGCCUGCUUUGCAAGCAGGAUGUCAGGAGUUCGAGUCUCCUAACCUCCACUGACCGAACUUGAUUCCCAUCUCCAAUUUUUUUGGAGUUGAGCUCGAUUGGAGUGUGAUUUAGAUGUGUCCGCUGGAUGACCCCAGCUUCCUGUCAUUCCAAGUUUUAGGUUGAAGCCUUGAAUUUGGUUGAUAAGAUGCUGGGCUCGGAUCAAGUGAUCAAGCAAUUGAUGAUUUGAUUUGAAGUUCUAGCAGAACCUUGACAACUGCAUAGGUGAGUCUGGAAAAAACAAAGCAUCUUACAGAUGCAUUGUUUUGAAUCUGAUCUUCUGAAAGGGAGAUUGGAUCUAGAACAAUGAAAAUUCUUUUGAGCAAGAGCCGAGACUCUUGAGCGUUCUUUGAUUGGUGUCGAGCCAAUCAGAGUUUGAUCUUGUUUUUAGCAAUAAAAACUUGAGAAUCUGCUUUCAACGGCGGUAAGCGUUCAGGAGGUUAAUU